AUGAAAAGGAAGGGGGGAACCCCACGCCCUCAACAAUACAUGAAUGCUUUCCAGCAGGCUACAGAGGAUUGUAAUCUGAAUGAUAUGGGAUAUGUGGGGGAUGUGUUUACUUGGCGCAGAGGUAGAAUCCGUGAAAGAUUGGACAGAGGAUUGAUUCCUGCUGAGUGGUCGGCUUUAUUCCCAAACGCAAGUCUGGAACACUGCAACUUUAACCACUCGGAUCAUAGACCCCUCCGGGUUGAUACUGAGUAUUUUCAGGACAUAGCAUCGUGUCAAAGGGGGUCCGAAGAGGUUUGA
rnacentral:rRNA from 1 species